rnacentral:rRNA from 1 species
GACGUAGGGGGCAAGCGUUGUCCGGAUUUAUUGGGCGUAAAGAGCUCGUAGGCGGCUCAGUAAGUCGGGUGUGAAACCUCCAGGCUCAACCUGGAGACGCCACCCGAUACUGCUGUGGCUUGAGUCCGGUAGGGGAGCGUGGAAUUCCUGGUGUAGCGGUGAAAUGCGCAGAUAUCAGGAGGAACACCAGCGGCGAAGGCGGCGCUCUGGGCCGGAACUGACGCUGAGGAGCGAAAGCGUGGGUAGCAAACAGG